AAGACCUUGCGCUUUUGGAGCGGCCGAUGCCUGAUUAGCUUGUUGGUAAGGUAAAAGCUUACCAAGGCUUCGAUCAGUAGCUGGUCUGAGAGGACGGCCAGCCACACUGGGACUGAGACACGGCCCAGACUCCUACGGGAGGCAGCAGUGGGGAAUUUUGGACAAUGGGGGCAACCCUGAUCCAGCCAUGCCGCGUGAGUGAAGAAGGCCUUCGGGUUGUAAAGCUCUUUCAGCCGGAACGAAACGGUUACGGUUAAUACCCGUGAUUACUGACGGUACCGGAAGAAGAAGCACCGGCUAACUACGUGCCAGCAGCCGCGGUAAUACGUAGGGUGCGAGCGUUAAUCGGAAUUACUGAGCGUAAAGCGUGCGCAGGUGGUUUUGUAAGUCAGAUGUGAAAGCCCCGGGCUCAACCUGGGAACU
rnacentral:rRNA from 1 species